CUCCUACUCCUUCAUUGAGGUCUUGCCGUAGUCACCGCCUCCGGCCGGCGGGCCGUGAGCUGCUGCAAGCAGCUCCUCCUCGUCUUCGGCGAGGGCUCGCGCUUCCCGUCUUCCUCAUCGUCCCUGAGGAAAUUCCUGAAGAUUCUCGUGUAUUUGCUGACUUGGUAGUUGCUACUCGCUCUUAAUGUUCAGGCACACGAUGAGCUCACAAAGGAGACAUUGCAACUUGCCAGGAAAAAUUUAGAAAAGGAGCAGAGGAUUUUGGAGCUUAGGAAUCAGGUGCAGCACUGUCACCUACAUCUCAUGAAGAAAGACAGGUUGACUGAUUUGGAGAGGCAAAAGGAUGAUAUUAUGAGGUUCUAUUCCCCUGCUGCACUGCUCGACAAGCUCCAAACAUCAAUGGCAAAGCUGGACGUGGACGAGGAGUCGAAGGAGCUGCACCAGAGUACAAGAAGCUCCGCACGGGUACCGCAAGCAGGCGUUGCUCCAUCUCGCCGGCGAGACAUCCGUCACACCGCCGCCGAUACCCGUGGGCCUUCGUGUUGGACAGACGAUCGAUGUCGACUUUGUUGUAUACUUGCUCGCUCAUUCUUGUUCUACCCUCUGCGUGGCCCUGUUUCUGAGCGCAGCUUAUUGUAGGGCUUGACAAACAUGAAAAGGUGGUUGCAUGUAUAGUUAUGUCGUAGAAACUACCUACGCUGUCGUGCCCAGUAACCAAGAUGGAUUGACGUGCGGUGAUCAAACCCGUUGCCCAAAGUUCUUUUUGUGAAGUUUUAUCAUAGUUUGACGAAAGUCUAUGGAUACAUUAUUGAAACACGUCCUGUUGAAUGGAAUUCCCUUGCUGCUUGCUAUACGCUUCCAGCAA